CCUACGGGGGGCUGCAGUGGGGAAUUUUGGACAAUGGGCGCAAGCCUGAUCCAGCCAUUCCGCGUGAGUGAAGAAGGCCUUCGGGUUGUAAAGCUCUUUCGCAAGGGAAGAAAACUUAUCCUCUAACAUAGGAUGAGGUUGACGGUACCUUGAUCAGAAGCACCGUCUAACUACGUGCCAGCAGCCGCGGUAAUACGUCGGGUGCGAGCGGUGAGCGGAGUGUGUGGGGGUAGUUCUGUCAGUGAGAUUUGAAAUCCCCGAGCUCAACUUGGGAACUGCGUUUGAAACUACAAGACUAGAAUAGGUCAGAGGGGGGUAGAAUUCCACGUGUAGCAGUGAAAUGCGUAGAGAUGUGGAGGAAUAUCAAUGGCGAAGGCAGCCCCCUGGGAUCAUAUUGACGCUCAUGCACGAAAGCGUGGGGAGCAAACAGGAUUAGAUACCCCGGUAGUC
rnacentral:rRNA from 1 species